rnacentral:rRNA from 1 species
UUUUGGACAAUGGGGGCAACCCUGAUCCAGCCAUGCCGCGUGAGUGAAGAAGGCCUUCUGGUUGUAAAGCUCUUUCGGACGGAACGAAAUGGGCGGGACUAGUACUCCUGUCUGAUGACGGUACCGUAAGAAGAAGCACCGGCUAACUACGUGCCAGCAGCCGCGGUAAUACGUAGGGUGCGAGCGUUAAUCGGAAUUACUGGGCGUAAAGCGUGCGCAGGCGGUUUCGUAAGCUGGAGGUGAAAUCCCCGGGCUUAACCUGGGAAUGGCCUUCAGGACUGCGAGGCUAGAGUGCGGCAGAGGGAGGUGGAAUUCCACGUGUAGCAGUGAAAUGCGUAGAGAUGUGGAGGAACACCGAUGGCGAAGGCAGCCUCCUGGGCCAGCACUGACGCUCAUGCACGAAA